UGAAGGCCCCCUUCUUUUGCAUGGCUCACCUUGAGGAGCAACAGCAGCAGCCUCUGGUCUCUCCAUGUCCCUCAGCUUGCAAAUGGACCCUGAGCACCCAAUCCUCUUACUGUGCUCUUGGUGGUGGUGGUGUUUGCAGGUGACUCCUUGGCUCUUCUCCUUGCUUCUGCCAUUGCAAAGAUAGAAGCUGGAGCUGAGUUGGUGACUUCCUUGAUCAUCUUGAUGCUGUUGCUUGGAAGGUGGGAAGGCUUGAUGGGCUGUCUCUCUUUUUUAUUGUGGAAGCCUCAAAGGAGUCAAUUGCAGUAGCUUUUGCAGGAACAGCACAGAAAGAAGAGGAGGAAGAACAUAAUAUUUCUUUAAGGGCAAACAAGAAAAUUUAUGAAGAUUGCAGUGGCCCUCAUUCAUGGGAAUGAGAAUUGAGAAGAGAGCCUCUCUGUUACUUUUGCCUGCAAAAAGCUUGUGUGUUUACUCAUUCCAGGCAUCAUCAAAUCAGAUGGUGGCAAAGGGAAUAAAGCAUGCAACA